rnacentral:rRNA from 1 species
CACGUAGGGUGCGAGCGUUGUCCGGAAUUAUUGGGCGUAAAGAGCUCGUAGGCGGUUUGUCGCGUCUGCUGUGAAAACUCGGGGCUUAACCCCGGGCCUGCAGUGGGUACGGGCAGACUAGAGUGCGGUAGGGGAGACUGGAAUUCCUGGUGUAGCGGUGAAAUGCGCAGAUAUCGGGAGGAACACCGGUGGCGAAGGCGGUUCUCUGGGCCUUACCUGACGCUGAGGAGCGAAAGCGUGGGGAGCGAACAGG